UAGGGAAUCUUCCACAAUGGACGCAAGUCUGAUGGAGCAACGCCGCGUGAGUGAAGAAGGUUUUCGGAUCGUAAAGCUCUGUUGUUGGUGAAGAAGGAUAGAGGCAGUAACUGGUCUUUAUUUGACGGUAAUCAACCAGAAGUCACGGCUAACUACGUGCCCG
rnacentral:rRNA from 1 species